UUCACAGUGGCUAAGUUUCA
rnacentral:miRNA from 1 species